AAGGGGUGUAUUUAUUAGAUAAAAAACCAAUGCCCUUCGGGGCUCUUUGGUGAUUCAUGAUAACUUAACGGAUCGCAUGGCCUUGCGCCGGCGACGGUUCAUUCAAAUUUCUGCCCUAUCAACUUUCGAUGGUAAGGUAUUGGCUUACCAUGGUUUCAACGGGUAACGGGGAAUUAGGGUUCGAUUCCGGAGAGGGAGCCUGGGAAACGGCUACCACAUCCAAGGAAGGCAGCAGGCGCGCAAAUUACCCAAUCCCGACACGGGGAGGUAGUGACAAUAAAUACUGAUACAGGGCUCUUUUGGGUCUUGUAAUCGGAAUGAGUACAAUUUAAACCCCUUAACGAGGAACAAUUGGAGGGCAAGUCUGGUGCCAGCAGCCGCGGUAAUUCCAGCUCCAAUAGCGUAUAUUAAAGUUGUUGCAGUUAAAAAGCUCGUAGUUGAACCUUGGGCCUGGCUGGCCGGUCCGCCUCACCGCGUGUACUGGUCCGGCCGGGCCUUUCCUUCUGGAGAGCCGCAUGCCCUUCACUGGGUGUGUCGGGGAACAGGACUUUUACUUUGAAAAAAUUAGAGUGUUCAAAGCAGGCCUUUGCUCGAAUACGUUAGCAUGGAAUAAUAGAAUAGGACGUGCGGUCCUAUUUUGUUGGUUUCUA
rnacentral:rRNA from 1 species